UGAAGUGAAGAGAUGAAGAAUUGAAAACUGAAGGGGAAUGGUUGAAUGGUUCAGAAAUGGCGAUGGUGAAUGGGCGUGAAGAGAGCCACUGAAGAAUGGAUCACUGCUCUGGGUUUAUAGAGUUUGCAGAGCUGAUCUGAAUGUGUAGUCAAUGCAGGUUUUCAAGUGUUUGGAUGCUGCAAGUUUCUGAGCUUUGCUCUUAAUGAUAAGUGAUGUGAACUUAUUUUUUGUGAUUUGGAAAAGGCUGGAAUAUGGCAUUGGCAGUAAGAUGGCAGUGUGAAGUUUGGAGCAGAAGGUCAUUUGAAGGGUUUAUGGCAAAGGGUUUAGAAGUAAUAGGCUUUAUGAAAUCAUGUCGUCUUGGUUAGAAGCAUAUUUUUGUGUAGUUUUCUUUGUACUCUCUUUGUAAUGGAAUUGUAUUGUUGUAAUGGAGACAUUUGGGAACCGAACUUGUAAUAGUG